GUAAAUCUGGGAUCCAGGCUGUAUCCUACCACGCAGGUCUCGGUGACAACGACAGAAUCUCUAUGCAGGAAAAGUGGCUCAAUGGACAGCGAUGUAAGGUUGUAUGUGCAACCAUUGCCUUCGGAAUAAGAAUUGACAAACCGGAUGUCAGAUUCGUCAUUCAUUACUCCUUGCCAAAGUCAGUGGAGGGAUUUUAUCAGGAGACAGGGCGAGCCCGAGUGAGCUGAGCUGCUAGCCCACUGUAUAAUGUACUACACAUACCAGGACGUCAAAAGAAUGAGGAGGAUUAUAGAGAUGGAUCAGGCAGCCACAUUUGAUUCCAAAAGAGUUCAUAUACACAACCUCUUCAGAAUGGUACAGUACUGUGAGAACGUGGCCGACUGUCGACAA